UGUGUCGACCAGGAACAAAGAAAGAGGGGAAACACACCCCCCCCCCCAUUUUGACCUAAUCUUUUAAAUCUCCUAAAUUGAAAGGCUAAAAGUGUGUAAAUCUUAUGCAUGAACCGAAAUUAGUGAUCACCUAAGCAAGAGGAUCAUAAGGUUGUUCUUUAUAGCGACUCGAGUGAUAGAGCGCGUGAUAAAGCCAGGAGCGACACGAGACUUAAAGGAAAGCUCUAAGGUAAGUACGAAGUUAGGACCCCGGAUGAAGAUCAAAUCACGUCAAGAACAGAACACUUUCCAAAGGCUUGUUAGCUUCCGUUUUUGUUAAUAUGCUUCUGAAAUGUAAAACCUGUGGAUUUGUAUUUUGAAUCUAAUCAUUGCUACCUUGUGUA